CCCUUAGAUGUUCUGGGCCGCACACGCGCUACACUGAAGGAGGCAGCGUGUACUCCUGGAUCGAAAGAUUUGGGUAACCCGCGAAUCUCCUACGUGCUAGGGAUUGAGGUUUGCAAUUAUCCUUCAUGAACGAGGAAUUCUCAGUAAGUGCAAGUCAUAAGCUUGCGCUGACUACGUCCCUGCCCUUUGUACACACCGCCCGUCGCUACUACCGAUUGAAUGAUUUAGUGAGGACUUCGGACUGGGACCGAUGCGGCUUUCGGGCUGCGUCGGUAUUCUGGAAAGAUGUCCAAACUGUAUCAUUUAGAGGAAGUAAAANUCGUANCA
rnacentral:rRNA from 1 species